GCCUGGGUGGCUCAGUCGGUUAAGCGUCUGACUUCGGCUCAGAUCAUGAUCUCACGUUUCAUCAGCUCGAGCCCCGCCUCAGGCU
rnacentral:tRNA from 1 species